rnacentral:lncRNA from 1 species
UUCGUCCCUAGGGGUUAGUGAGCUAGCCUUGGUCCUUCGACCCUGCUAUGCCGGAUUCCUUCAGUAUCCUCGUCGACGAGGCCCUUGUUUGGAAGAUUGGCCUCGAAAGUGGCGUUAAGCCAAAGUUGUAAUAACCAAAAGGGGCCAUACAAAAAAAGAUUCCCUUUGUCCCCCAUAUUCUUUAGUUAAGCCACUCUAUCGCUCAAUGAUUCCUACAUGCUUG